rnacentral:rRNA from 1 species
UACGUAGGGGGCAAGCGUUGUCCGGAUUUAUUGGGCGUAAAGGGCUUGUAGGUGGCCACGCCAAGUCGGAUGUGAAAUCUCCCGGCUCAACUGGGAGGGGUCAUUCGAUACUGGCGGGCUCGAGGCCGGUAGGGGGAAGUGGAAUUCCCGGUGUAGGGGUGGAAUGCGUAGAUAUCGGGAGGAACACCAGUGGCGAAGGCGGCUUCCUGGACCGGUUCUGACACUGAGGAGCGAAAGCGUGGGGAGCGAUCCGG